rnacentral:tRNA from 1 species
UUUUUAUUUUUAUUUAUUAUUUUUAUUAUUAUGAGAAUAAAUCCUACUACUUCUGGUCCGGGAGUUUCCGCGCUUGAAAAAAAGAACCUGGGGCGUAUCGCUCAAAUUAUUGGGCCAGUGCUAGAUGUAGCUUUUCCCCCGGGCAAGAUGCCUAAUAUUUACAACGCUCUGGUAGUUAAGGGUCGAGAUACUGCCGGUCAAGAAAUUAAUGUGACUUGUGAAGUACAACAAUUAUUAGGAAAUAAUCGAGUUCGCGCUGUAGCUAUGAGUGCUACAGAUGGUCUAACGAGAGGAAUGGAAGUGAUUGACACAGGAGCCCCUCUAAGUGUUCCAGUCGGUGGGGCAACUCUAGGACGAAUUUUCAACGUGCUUGGAGAACCUGUUGACGAUUUAGGUCCUGUAGAUACUCGCGCAACAUCCCCUAUUCAUAGAUCUGCGCCUGCCUUUAUACAGUUAGAUACAAAAUUAUCUAUUUUUGAAACAGGAAUAAAAGUAGUAGAUCUUUUAGCCCCUUAUCGCCGUGGAGGAAAAAUCGGACUAUUCGGGGGAGCUGGAGUGGGUAAAACAGUACUUAUUAUGGAAUUAAUCAAUAACAUUGCGAAAGCUCAUGGGGGUGUAUCCGUAUUUGGCGGAGUAGGCGAACGUACUCGUGAAGGAAAUGAUCUUUACAUGGAAAUGAAAGAAUCUGGAGUAAUUAAUGAAGAAAAUAUUGCAGAAUCAAAAGUGGCUCUAGUCUAUGGUCAGAUGAACGAACCGCCGGGAGCUCGUAUGAGAGUUGGUUUGACUGCCCUAACUAUGGCGGAAUAUUUUCGAGAUGUUAAUGAACAAGACGUACUUCUAUUUAUCGACAAUAUCUUCCGUUUCGUCCAAGCCGGAUCCGAAGUAUCCGCCUUAUUGGGUAGAAUGCCUUCCGCUGUGGGUUAUCAACCUACCCUUAGUACCGAAAUGGGCUCUUUACAAGAAAGAAUUACUUCUACCAAAGAAGGGUCCAUAACUUCUAUUCAAGCAGUUUAUGUACCUGCGGACGAUUUGACUGACCCUGCUCCUGCCACGACAUUUGCACAUUUAGAUGCUACUACUGUACUAUCAAGAGGAUUAGCUGCUAAAGGUAUCUAUCCAGCAGUAGAUCCUUUAGAUUCAACGUCAACUAUGCUCCAACCUCAGAUCGUUGGUGAGGAACAUUAUGAAACUGCGCAAAGAGUUAAGCAAACUUUACAACGUUACAAAGAACUUCAGGACAUUAUAGCUAUCCUUGGGUUGGACGAAUUAUCCGAAGAGGAUCGCUUAACUGUAGCAAGAGCACGAAAAAUUGAACGUUUCUUAUCACAACCCUUUUUCGUAGCAGAAGUAUUUACCGGUUCUCGGGGGAAAUAUGUCGGUCUAGCAGAAACAAUUAGAGGGUUUAAAUUGAUCCUUUCGGGAGAAUUAGAUAGUCUCCCUGAGCAGGCCUUUUAUUUGGUAGGUAAUAUUGAUGAAGCUACUGCGAAGGCUACGAACUUAGAAAUGGAGAACAACUUGAAGAAAUGACCUUAAAUCUUUGUGUACUGACCCCGAAUCGAAUUGUUUGGGAUUCAGAAGUGAAAGAAAUCAUUUUAUCUACUAAUAGUGGACAAAUUGGCGUAUUACCAAACCAUGCACCUAUUGCCACAGCUGUCGAUAUCGGUAUUUUGAGAAUACGCCUUAAUGACCAAUGGUUAACGAUGGCUCUGAUGGGUGGUUUUGCUAGAAUAGGCAAUAAUGAGAUUACUGUUUUAGUAAAUGAUGCAGAGAAGGGUAGUGACAUUGAUCCACAAGAAGCUCAGCAAACUCUUGAAAUAGCAGAAGCUAACUUGAGGAAAGCGGAAGGCAGGAGACAAAUAAUUGAGGCAAAUCUAGCUCUCAGACGAGCUAGGGCACGAGUAGAGGCUAUCAAUGGGAUUUCGUAACUAUAACUAGUUGGUGCGUCCGAAUAAUCAAAAGAACUUCUGUAUAAACAGAAGUUCUGUUUAUACACUUUUUUUUAUUCUACCAAUUGAAUAGAAUCAUAAGUAGAAUCGGAUUCUAAUACAACGAAAAUUUUUUCAAUUCAAAAAAUGAAAUAGAAUGGAACGAAAAAGAUCAAAAAUCAAUAAAAUUAAAAUAAGGUGGGUAAAAAAACUUAUUAGAUAGCAUUGAUUCUGAUAUCUAAUAAGUUCUACCUACUAUUGCAAGUUCUACCUACUAUUGGAUUUGAACCAAUGACUCUCGCCGUAUGAAAGCGAUACUCUAACCACUGAGUUAAGUAGGUCAUUUAUCAUCACAAAGAGAAAGAAAUGGAAUCCGUCACAUCGAUGGAUUAUAAAUGUAAUUUUAAUUAUAAAUGGAAUAUUUUUUAUAAGCAAUACCGAUCAAAGAGAUCAAAGAAAUAGGAUGUUGGAUCAUAUAAUAUUCAUCUUGACAAGAAAUUAUCGACAUGAUAAAAUAUGUAUCACAAACACAAGGGCUAUAGCUCAGUUAGGUAGAGCACCUCGUUUACACGCGCGCCAAUGUUUUUUUUUUUUUUUUUUUUAAACAAUUGUAGUUGUCUUAUACUUGCUUUCUAUAACCAGAAUGAGCCAAGAAAGUCAAGGAAAUCUCCAUCAUCAAAAGUUUCUGAUCAGAAGGUGCAGCUUGCUAAUUCGAGAAGGAGGAUAGAUCAGGCUGGAGGACCUAGAAAGAGAGGGAAAGCAAAGGAAGGGAAAAAAGCUGGGGCAGUAACUAAGGCAAAGAUGAAAGUAUAUGAGGUAUCAGCCUGUAUAUUUUAAGACACUGGUGCUUAUGAUGCUGCAGGAUGAAUUACUGGUGGCUAUAUCUAGCUUUUCAAUAAAUUUUCUUCGGUCAUGGUGUCUGAGAUUCCAAGUUGUGAUAUUCUAUAUUUGAUUGAUAAUCUUGUCUUUCAUGUCAUUUGCGAUCAGCCUUUGCAUUUUUUGUAGGAUUUUUAUAGGAGCUCUCAAAGAAAAGAGAAGGAAAAUUUUUUUUCGAGUAUUUAACUUUUCUUUUGUUACUGUUCUGCAUUUUGUUUAUAUAUAUAGGCUCCUUGGAAUCCCGCAUAAAAAAAUGUAUAUGCUGGUUGAUAAGCAACAUUAAACGAACUUUGCCUCAUCAACUAAGUUUAUUUUCAGGCAUACCAGUUUUUUCCCAUUGCUUUCAUUAUUUUUCUUCGUGGAUGCAAAGCCAUAUUUUUCACGAAUGCACACAUGGGGAGAAAUGAUGUGGUGAGAGACAAAGUGUAAUUUUGGAGACCGAAGAAGAAAACAGAUGGCUCAUUUGACCUCCCAAAUGUGACGCCAUUCACUCUUUGAAUUACUAGUACUUGGAGUUUUCUAUUUAACUACACCUGGCACUUUUUUGGGGCUGUGCCCUUGCUCCUUUGAACUCUUUCUAAUUUUACCUAUUUCGGUUAUCUUUGUUGAUAUUGAGACAAUGAAUGGCCUCUUGUUCUCAUGGAAAUCUAUUACUAACUGAACCUGAUAGUGGAAACUUAAAGAAAUUGUUGCCUUACGUGUGACUUUUUAGUAUAGUUGUGUGGAAUGAAGAAAGAGAAGGGGCUCAGUUUUGUGUUGAGGUACAGGAUCGGAUAGAUUCCCCAGCUCUUGGAUAUGCUUAAUUUGAUAAAUAGUGAAUAGGCUCUUGGGCAUGUUACUGGUGGAGAAAUUUUGAAUGUUCCAAGAAAUGCAAGUACAUAUCAAGUUCUUUACUUGAGUAAUAAAAUGUGCAAAUGAGUGUCAAGUUCCUUUCUCUUUUUUUUUGUUUACUGAACUCAGAGAUUAGUUUUUAUUCAAUUACGUUAUGUCUUCAGUCAGCAGUGAUUCAAUAUUUAACUACACAAUUGCUUAUUCUUUUCUACAUUCGCAAGUUCACCUGGUUAGAUAAUGAGCUUCUGUUUCGGGUUGGUCGAAAUUGUCUUCUUUGUUCAUCUGUGAAAGCAUCUGUUGUAUUUUGUUUUUUUGACAUUUUGACCAAUAACAGUAAAACUAAUUUUUCUGUUGUUCUACCAACAAGCAAUUAACACUGUGAAUCAAUGUUGUAGGUUGGAGAUGACGACAUAGAAGAAUUCUCAAGCUCAACACAGUCUCAGGAUACUGAUGGAAGUGAUGAAAAUUGGGCAGCUUGAGAUUAGACUUCAACUGGAGGAUGAAAAUUCUAAUCCAAACUUCAACUUUGUAAAGCAUUUGAAUCUCCGAAAUCCAAUCACUUGUGUAGGAAGACAUGAUGGGUUUUAUUCCAAAUGAAAUCUGAGUCUGCUUGCUGAUAAUUUCGGAGCUGGCAAAAUUCGAUUCUAAUGCUAGUAUUAUACAAUAUUAGAGUAUCUCCUGCACGAUGCGGUCGAAAUCGAAUUUAUAAUGCUAAACGUUUGUCACACCAUUAAUAGAUAAAUAAUAUAGAUCGUUCUCCAUGUGAUGUGGUAAAAGUAGAACUUACAAAUUAAAUGUCUCCUAUAAUAUAAAUAGAUAAGUAAUGUUUAGUUCAAUGAUCUCAGCUUUUAUUCUAUUUAGCCAUUUGCAGUUGAGAUUAGCUUUGAUACUUGUUCAGUUUUGCCUUCGUGGAUUGCAGAAAUUAAAGUUAAUGCAUUGUGAUUUUAAAC